CUUCCAGCUCUCUGGGCCCAAGAGAGGUGAAUCCCAGGUCACAGGGGAGAUAGUGACAGGGAGGGAAAGAGGAAAAGGGGUGAGUUAGCACUUGUUGGCUGUGAUUCUAGAGACUUCAACACUUUCUCCGCAGCUCCUCCUGGGCAUGGCUGAGAUGACAAGAGGAGACAACUAGAACCUUCCCUUCUUUAUUAUAUUCUCUCAUCCUCAAAAAGAAGAGGGUGAUGGGGACAGAGGGCAACAGGCAGUGGGACGCAGUAGAGCCAGCCAGGCAUCAUCUUUUCUAACACAGGAAUGUGCUCAUCUUAUAUGAUUGGUGUGGCACCGUGCUGCCUUCCUGAGGAGCCCACUCUCUCUCACUGCAUCAUGAAGAAAGGCUUGGGAGGGAGGGAGGGGGCUCAGUGGAGGAACGCUUGCUUGCCUUGCACAUGCAAACCCCAGUUCAGUAUCUCCAGAGCCAGAAGGAAACUCCUCACAUGCUAGGCACAUGAAGAAAACAGAUCACAAAGAUAUUUUUCAAAGCAUUAAACAGACUUCUUUUUGAAGAAGCUUUACUGAGGUAUAACUAAUGUCUUUAUUUCUGUGUGUAGUGUGUGUGUGAUGCACGCACAUGACUGUGCAUGGACAUGCACCCAUAAAUGCACGUGUGCUCACCAGAGCAGGACACCAUGUGUCUUUUCUAUUGUGCUCAUUCUUACCGACUCCACACAGGGUCUCUCACCAGAUAAGAGGCUCUGGACUCAGCUAGGCUAGCUGGACAAGCACUCUGGAGGUUUGGCUGUCUCUGGUCCCCAGGGCUGGGUUUAGAGCCACACAAAGCUACCACCAGUUAACUCCCCAAAUGCAAGCACUUAAUGUACAGAUGACUACAGACAUGUUUGCUUCGUUCGUGACGAUCUCACUGAAUCCAAGUCUCUAUGCUGUUUCCCACAAUGGCCACAUCAUUUUACCUUCCCACUGACAAGUGUUCCUGGACAUCUUCACCCGCACCUGCUCCAGUUAACAUUCUCACAGUGGCCACCCUAACUUGGAACUAGAAAUCCUAGCCAAUGCAGUUGCAUAAGAAAAAGAAAACAAAGACACCCACUGUAAUGGAAGAGAUAAGGCUCUGGGAACACACAGUGGCCUAACAUCAGAAAACCCUAAAGACUCUAUCAAAACAUCGCUACAACUGUGAGACCCCGACUUAGAGCGUUUCUCCCUGGAAGCCAGAGAUGCGAUAAUUGUAGGAAGACCUACAAGGACAUAGAAAUAGACGCCAGAAAGGAGGCUGCAGCUCACUCCCUCACCCACCUCUCCAGAAAGGAGCUGUAGCCAACUCUCCUCCCAACUCCUCCCAAUUCCUCAGCUAGCUGUUAAAAGCCCCCUACUCACCUGCCCUGC